GAGUUUGAUCCUGGCUCAGGACGAACGCUGGCGGCGUGCCUAACACAUGCAAGUCGAACGAAGCUUGACGAAUGAUUUCUUCGGAAUGAAAUCUGAUAUGACUGAGUGGCGGACGGGUGAGUAGCGCGUGAGCAACCUGCCCUUCGGAACGGGAUAGUGUCUGGAAACGGACAGUAAUACCGUAUAACGUAUUUUUACCGCAUGAUAGAAAUACCAAAACUGAGGUGCCGAAGGAUGGGCUCGCGUCUGAUUAGCUAGUUGGUGAGGUAACGGCUUACCAAGGCAACGAUCAGUAGCCGACUUGAGAGAGUGAUCGGCCACAUUGGGACUGAGACACGGCCCAGACUCCUACGGGAGGCAGCAGUGGGGAAUAUUGCACAAUGGGGGAAACCCUGAUGCAGCGACGCCGCGUGGAGGAAGAAGGUCUUCGGAUUGUAAACUCCUGUUGUUGGGGAAGAUAAUGACGGUACCCAACAAGGAAGUGACGGCUAACUACGUGCCAGCCGCCGCGGUAAUAC
rnacentral:rRNA from 1 species